UACGGGGGGGGCAAGCGUUGUUCGGAAUUACUGGGCGUAAAGGGCUCGUAGGUGGCCCACUAAGUCAGACGUGAAAUCCCUCGGCUUAACCGGGGAACUGCGUCUGAUACUGGAUGGCUUGAGUUUGGGAGAGGGACGCGGAAUUCCAGGUGUAGCGGUGAAAUGCGUAGAUAUCGUAAGGAAGACCAGUGGCGAAGGCGGGUCUCUGGACAGUUCCUGACGCUGAGGCACGAAGGUCAGGGGAGCAAACGGG
rnacentral:rRNA from 1 species